CCUACGGGAGGCUGCAGUGGGGAAUAUUGGACAAUGGGCGAAAGCCUGAUCCAGCAAUACCGCGUGUGUGAAGAAGGCCUGAGGGUUGUAAAGCACUUUCAAUAGGAAGGAAUACCUAUCGGCGAAUACCCGGUAGACUGACAUUACCUAUACAAGAAGCACCGGCUAACUCCGUGCCAGCAGCCGCGGUAAUACGGAGGGUGCAAGCGUUAAUCGGAAUUACUGGGCGUAAAGCGUGCGUAGGCGGUUAUUUAAGUCAGAUGUGAAAGCCCCGGGCUUAACCUGGGAACUGCAUUUGAUACUGGAUGACUAGAGUUGAGUAGAGGAGAGUGGAAUUUCAGGUGUAGCGGUGAAAUGCGUAGAGAUCUGAAGGAACACCAGUGGCGAAGGCGGCUCUCUGGACUCAAACUGACGCUGAGGUACGAAAGCGUGGGUAGCAAACAGGAUUAGAUACCCUUGUAGUC
rnacentral:rRNA from 1 species